rnacentral:rRNA from 1 species
UACGUAGGGGGCAAGCGUUAUCCGGAAUCAUUGGGCGUAAAGCGCGUGUAGGCGGUUCCGUAAGUCCGCUCUGAAAGCCCCAGGGCUCAACCCUGGGAGGCGGGUGGAUACUACGGAACUGGAGUACGGAAGAGGAGAUUGGAAUUCCUGGUGUAGCGGUGAAAUGCGCAGAUAUCAGGAGGAACACCAACAGCGAAGGCAGAUCUCUGGGCCGUUACUGACGCUGAGGAGCGAAAAGCGUGGGGGAGCGAACAGG